UACGUAGGGUGCGAGCGUUGUUCGGAAUUAUUGGGCGUAAAGGGUGCGUAGGCGGUUUGGUAAGUCUUAUGUGAAAUCUAUGGGCUCAACUCAUAGACUGCAUGAGAAACUGCCGGGCCUGAGUAUGGGAUGAGGUGAGUGGAAUUCCUGGUGUAGCGGUGAAAUGCGUAGAUAUCAGGAGGAACACCUGUGGCGAAAGCGGCUCACUGGACCAUAACUGACGCUGAUGCACGAAAGCUAGGGGGAGCAAACAGG
rnacentral:rRNA from 1 species